rnacentral:rRNA from 1 species
UACGAAAGGGGCUAGCGUUGUUCGGAAUUACUGGGCGUAAAGCGCACGUAGGCGGCCUUGUAAGAUGGGGGUGAAAUCCCCGGGCUCAACCCGGGAACUGCCUUCAUGACUGCAAAGCUAGAGGAUGCGAGAGGUUAGCGGAAUUCCGAGUGUAGAGGUGAAAUUCGUAGAUAUUCGGAAGAACACCAGUGGCGAAGGCGGCUAACUGGCGCAUUUCUGACGCUGAGGUGAGAAAGCGUGGGGAGCAAAAGGG